GACUCUGUAGUGAAGUUCAUAGUGAGUUGCAAGCUCAUUGAUGCAUGUUAAAACGUGCCGGGGUCU
rnacentral:tRNA from 2 species